GCCGAAACGGGUACGGUACGGCCCCGAAACGCCACUGGCCGUACCGUACGGCGUUUCUCGAAAGGGAAACGCCAUACGGUACGGCCGGUGGCGUUUCGGGGCCGUACCGUGCUCGUAUGGC
rnacentral:pre_miRNA from 1 species